CAUGCGUGCCCGCGGGGCGGGCAGGGAGCGCAGCACCUCAGCCUUUCAGUGAUAAACGCCAGCGAACCCCUGCUCCCCACCGCCUGGCUGUCAGGUACUGGGGCCAUCACACAGCCACAGGAGAGAAGCACCCCCUGGAGCCGGGGUGCUGGGGAGCGUGGCGGCCCUGCAGACACUGUGUUAGACUCGGGGAGCUCACAUUCCUAGGAGCCACAGACAAGCACGUAAGCGCCGACUUUUGGGAGUACUUGCAGUGUUCUAAGUUAAAGCCUUAGACUUAACUCGCCCAACAAUCCUACGAACGGUGCUGUAUGACCUCCAUUUCUGUGUAGACAAGCAGGCUGAGGCACAGGAAGGUUACGUAAUUUGUCCAAGGUUAUUUGAGUAGAAAGUGGUAGACUGGUCUUUAGCCCAAGAAGUCUGACUGUCAAGCUAGCAUUCGUAACCUCCCUCCUGCCCCCAGCGCCCCUCCAGAGAAGACAAUCCCAGCAGUGACGCUUGGAACAUAUCAUAAUGGGGGGGCAGAGUGGACACUCGCAUCUUCGCCUCCUCUAGGUGGCUGUCUCUAAGGUUCUCCCAGGCUCCUGGCAGCUUGCUCUGUUCUCCCCCGACUAGACUCCCCCCACUACAGUCCUGGAGUCUGCCCAGAAGACACACCCCUGCGUGGCCUCUGGCCCUCGGGCCGGGAGCAGGUGAACAAACAGGCUGUGGCAUGACUCAUCCCGGAUCUCCGCAGGAGCCUGCUGGAUCAGCUAGCUGGUUCCCAGGCACUGGUACCGACGAACAGACAGACAAAGACACAUACACAUCCCGAAGCCACAUGGAGUUUGCUGUCAGCUGGCACAAGUCUUUCAGAGGACACUGAAUUCUUUCUGCCCUAGACUCUCCUACCCAGCAACCCCGACAGAUGACGUCCUCACCCCACCCGGCACUACCAACUUCAAAACAGCGUCCCCUUCACAAGCACUGCAAUGCAGCAACCACUGACCUAACUACUCUGAUCUCCAGGUCACACGGGGCGGGCCCCUCACUGUGACGCCCCCAGAGCCAGUGACCUGCCAAUUCAGCUCUCACUCCACCUGGCUCACAGUCCACUGCAGAAACCCUACCUGACCCGUCGAUCAGCUCGAAACUUCAGCAUCUUUUUGGCAGCUCUGGCCCCUGUGCGGCAGCCUCAGAGGACCCGGCAGCCAGCCUGCUCGUAGCAUCCCUCUGAGAAAUGCAAUAUGAUAAAUCCCAGCUGGAGGCUGUCAGAUCUGCUUGGGGCAAGGAGGCUUGCAUCGUUGUUAGCUACUCUGAACUCUCCAGAGACUGAAGAUGGUCACAUCUCCUCUUUUCCUGAUGUCCUCCAUGUCUUACAGUGCAAGGGCCCUCCUUGCAAGGGGCUUCUGACAGUCAUCUCUUCCAAGCCCCUGCCACCAGCAGGCUUGCUCUGCAAUCCGUCUCAGUAAGUGCCUUGGCUGUUUGUGAAGGGUUUCAGUAAAGGAUGCUCCAGACCCACCAUUAUGUUACACUGUCUGAGAUGUUUUCUUUUUUUUUACAGAUGUUCUUUUUUGAUAUCAAAUUUUAGUUUCUCUAGCUUUGGCUAUUGUUCCAUUUUUAUCUUCAGAUGACAGAAUCCUUUCUGACCAAUGUGGUUCCUUUCAGCAGCGCCAGGCAUUCCGUUGACAUCACAGUCUGUUGUUGCAGCAAUUUUGUGAUGUCAACAGACACUGAAAGGGAGGAGCUAAUCUAAUUGUUUGGUUUGAAGACUGAGCCCAGUCAGAGAACAAUGCAAUCAGUGAGUAGAAAAGACAACAUUAUUACUUAACCCGUGAUGAGACAAGCUGGUCGGAUAUAGCUGGGGCUGAUAUUUAAGCAACUAAUCCUAAAUCCAAAAGGACGUCAAAGGCCUCCAUUUCUCAAGGACAAAUGGUUAUGACUCUACCUCCAAAUGGACUGCUCAAAUUCCUCCCAAGGGAAGGGGGACUCUCAAGCAGUAAAGGGGCAGGAGCAUCCCUAAACUGCUGAGUUGCCCACGAGGUGGUCCCCUCACCUACUACACCUACAAAGGUGGCCCCAAUGGCCAUCAGUGAUAAGAGAACUGGAAGGACUGAUCUUUCAGUCUAAGGUCCAACACGAGAGGGGCUUCUCUGGCCCUUGUUCUCUCAUGUGCAAAGGAGGUACUUUCUAUUUCUAUGAAAUAAUAACUAGAAACUUUCAAAAUGUGAAACAUUUAAUAUAUAAGACAUAAUGACUAUAUUAUUCUGCUUAAAAACAAAUCAAGAUAUAUGCUGAGUACUGGAGCUAGAAAAUGAAAACCACAGUCUCGGGCUUAAGAAGGCUGUGAAUGUAGCAGGGGCUGGCAUUCCAGAAGUACCAAAACCAAUAAAUUACAAAGAAAAGAGACAGAGCCUCUCCCUUUUCUAAGCAUUGUCCCUUCAUCUAGUUUGGGCUUUUCCACAGUUCAAGAGACACCUGCAGCCUCUAAGUGCAGACGCUAGUGACAGCAUCACUACGGAGUUAACUGUGUGCUGACCGAUCUCCAAACAAACUCCCUAAGAAUCUGCAUCUCUCUGGAAUGAUACCUGGCACUAUGCAGUCAAAAGCAGCAAAAGCAACCCAGAUGUUCAGGACCCUUUGCAGACAUGCAUGUUCACAGACGUGUACACACACACAUACGUACUCAGAAUGGACAGCUCCCACCGUGAUAAAUACUGAACAACGAGAGAGAUACAUUCAACUCCUUCCACCUUGAGCUCCUCUUGGUUACUUGCAAAACACCAAGCUGCUGCAACCCCAGAGCUCCUGAGAAUGAGUGCCAGCCAGGUUUUUCCAUCCCAACAAAGCUCUGGCUUUUGGCCUUACAGCUCAUUAGAUGGAGAGAGGACUUUGAGGUGAGGUGAGCGGGGAGGAGGGCUGCCACAACCCACCCCUCCCACUUCCUUCUUCCCCCAGCUCACAAAUUCCAAGCUGAGGCUGUCCACUCACAGGAAAAUUUCUGCAGCCUGCAAAGGAAGUGAAGGUCGGGCUCCCGCUCUCCACCUCCCCUCUGGAUGUCAUCAUCAUUUCAAGGAGCUUGAUGUGCUCCACUUUUCUGUCCCAAUUAAAAACCAACUUGGUUAACAUUCCCAACAAUCCUGAUGUGCCUGAUUCCUGAGGUUCCCCCCUCUCAUCCACCUCCAUCAUUCCUAGGAAAAAAUACGCUUCCCUAGCCAAGCUCUCCCCACCCAAACCCCUCUGCUCUCCC